AUAAACAGUCUCUGACCUAAUGUUCAUCUGCAAGAGAACGAGAGACGCGUCCCCCAUCCUUCGACGGCGAAGUUAUGUCGUUUCCGCUUUCCCUCGCCAAAUGAAACGCUCUGAAUUAAUAUUUCGUGAUUAAUCCACUCAGAUCGCUCCCCACGAAGUGUAUUCAAAGCAAUCUUAAAGCUAGAGUCUUUUUCUUCUUUUAUCUCUGCAAGGGCGGUGUAUAUAUUCCUCUGAAAUGGCUAAGUCAUCAAUCAUUUUUCAGUAUAGAAGUCAGUCGUAUGUUUUUCAACCGUGGUGGUGAGAUUGCCAGAAACAUCAAACGCGGUGGAAAGAUUUUCCGUUACUGGCUGAUCCGGAAAUCAAGUGAUUGAAUCACGAGCAGGGAAAUAUGGGUUUUGGGUUUGUUCUUCGACUCGACGAAGGAUGAUGAACAAGAUCUAUAUACUCACGGAUAUGGUGGUUACUGGUUACUUACUACUUAGUCUCGGACCCGAUAUGCUUCUUUUUUAAAGAUCACUUUUGCCUGACUUUUAUUUGUUUAUGUCCUCAACUUCUCCAUCUUUAAUGUUGUGUUUCAUGGACUCUUCAGUCUCUUCGUUAAAUAGCUAAGUGCUGGUCUUCUCUUUACAUCUUUUUGCUUUUAGGAAGUGAAUAGAUAAAUCACUUGAUGAAUGGUUCAUAAAGGUAUUGUUUUUGUUAUUGCAGUUGCUUUGUCGAUGACAAAGAAGAAAAGAAGGGAGAGGGAGCAGAAGGAGAGUAUUGUUAAUGGUAUCAGAGACUGUCGAUAAAUAUAACUCUGUCCAUGUUUCUCAUUUGAAAACAUGAAAAAUAUCAAAUUCAAGGAGUUAAGACAACAGUUUAGACACAAUGGUGAGGAACAAGGUUAAACUCUGUAUUCAAAACUACAUGAGCUUGGAAGCAACCGCUAAGUACCUUGAGAAGAAUCACCGGAUUAGUAAAAGUGUCACCCGCAUAGUUUUGGGGCAGCUUCGAGAAAAGAACCCAGAUUUCUUCAACCACUUCGAAUUGAGAUGCUAGAUGGCUUUUCGGAUGUGGAUGUUCAAUGAUAUGCUGACUAAGCAAGCUGUUGGGAUGUUCGAACAUGGACUUAUUGAUAUCUGUGAUGCAUCAAUUACCUUCCAAGAGAAAGCGGAGUUCUGCAAGGUUAGUAGCAUUGCCAUAUGCAAAUGGUCCAUGAGGUACAACCUGAUGUUGAUCAUGUUAAAGUCAGAUGGAUCCCAACCAAUUAUAAGUUCGCAAUAACGGUUAGCAUUAUUGAUCAAGACCUUGCUCAGAAAAAAAAAUGUGUACCAAAAUCAAGGUGUUUCCUUUCCGGAUUUGUGCUGAACUGAACAUGAAGCUAUGCAGAGAAAGCUUGAAGCCUGGCAGAAUGAGGAGAAGUUGCACAAUCUGCGGAAUUAACAGUCAAAAGGACAGUUUCAGAGACCAUACAGCUUAUGCACUCAAGAAGGCACGCAAGAAAAGCAACCUUUGGUUCAGUUUUCCAUGUUGACCAAGGAAGAAGGGAUAUUCUUAAUAUCUCAGACGUUAAUUCUGCUCAAGUCCACCUUUAAUUCGAACCGGCUUCCAACCUUCAGGCUUCACAAAACAGAUAAUAAAUUAAGAUGUUCUUAAUAUCUCAGACGUUAUUGGUGAGCUCACUGCUGUGAGAAGUGAUGAUGUUGAUCAAUAGAGACCAUAAGAGGCGUUGUUGCGGGAGGAAGUGAGGGCUUUUUCAGAGAUGGAGGAUGAUGACUUGAAGGCAGCGAUUGAAGCGAGCUGAGUUUGCUAGAUGCUUCUGCGACUGGUGUUAAUCUUGGAGCUGUUCGGACUUCUCAAAAGAAAACUGAGAAACAAAAGUGGCAGAGCAAAUAGAGAACGAAGCAGCUUUUAAUUGAUGUGUGUGAAGGAAUAUUCAAUUGUUUUUUUUUGUUUUUGUAUUUGAUAAUUACUUACAGAACAUAGAAGCUUAUAUCGACAGAAACCAAAGGGUUUGUGAUAUGGUGUUUUGUGUUUGAGUUCUUUAUUGAUAAAUCAAACCAUCUCUACUUCUGGCUA